CUACGGGGAGCUCCAGUCGCGAAACCUUUACAAUGCACGAAAGUGUGAUAAGGGGAUUUCAAGUGCCAGCUCUGCUGGCUUUUGCCGAGUGCAAAAAGCUCGGCGAAUAAGUGGAGGGUAAGAUACGUGCCAGCCGCCGCGGUAACACGUACUCCACAAGUGGUGUCCAGUUAUAUUGGGCCUAAAACGUUCGUAGCCGGUCCAGCAAGUCUUUGGUGAAAUCAGCAAGCUCAACUUGUUGAAUGGCCUGAGAUACUGUUGGACUAGGGACCGGAAGAGGCAAAGGGAAUUCCCGAGGUAGGAGUGAAAUCUUGUAAUCUUGGGAGGACCACCAGUAGCGAAGGCGCUUUGCCAGGACGGCUCCGACGGUGAGGAACGAAAGCUGGGGGAGCGACCCGGAUUAGAUACCCCGGUAGUC
rnacentral:rRNA from 1 species